rnacentral:lncRNA from 1 species
GACCGUUCGAUGAUUUUUCUUGAAUGGGUUCCCACAUGGCUGUUAGAUGAGAUGUGAACCAUGACAUGUAGUUCAAUCUACCUAAUAGACCACGAACCUCUUUUUCUGUUCUCGGUUCAGGCAUUUCUCACAUUGUGUUUUUUUUUUUUUAGCAGGAACCUCGAUUCCCCUCUGACAAUGAACCCCAACAUCUUACCGGAUCGCACUUUGAU